rnacentral:rRNA from 1 species
UAAGGUAUAUUGGUCAAUGGGCGCAAGCCUGAACCAGCCAUGCCGCGUGCAGGAAGACGGCCCUAUGGGUUGUAAACUGCUUUUGUCAGGGAAUAAACCCCCGCUCGUGAGCGGGGCUGAAGGUACCUGAAGAAUAAGCAUCGGCUAACUCCGUGCCAGCAGCCGCGGUAAUACGGAGGAUGCAAGCGUUAUCCGGAUUCAUUGGGUUUAAAGGGUGCGCAGGCGGAUUGGUAAGUCAGGGGUGAAAUCCCACAGCUCAACUGUGGAACUGCCUUUGAUACUGUCAGUCUAGAGUAUAGUUGAAGUGGGCGGAAUGUGUCAUGUAGCGGUGAAAUGCUUAGAUAUGGCACAGAACACCGAUCGCGAAGGCAGCUCGCUAAGCUAUAACUGACGCUCAUGCACGAAAGCGUGGGGAUCAAACAGG